UGUUGUGUUCUAUCAAUUAUAUCUCACCUUCCUAUCCUUUCUCUUUUCCCUUCUUAAUGUGAACAGAAUAAAUGAACAUUUGGGUAUUAACACUUUGGACUUUGCUAUUCUGAAUGAUCCACUAAGUGCUUCGCCCUGUGAUUUUUGCUUUCGUAUACUUAAAUAUGGACUAUUUCUUUUGUUCUUUACAAUUGAGAAAUCCCUGGAAAAUGCAACUAAUUUAGCUAGAGUUAUUAAGUUAAAGUAUUUUUUUAAUCUUAUUUUUGAGAGAGAGAGAGAGAGAGCGCGCAAGCAGGGGAGGGACAGAGAGAGAGGAAGACACAGAAUUGGAAGCAGGCUCCAGGCUCCAAGCUGUCAGCACAGAGUCUGACAUGGGGCUCGAACCCAUGAACCAUGAGAUCGUGACCUGAGCUGAAGUCAAUGAGCUCAACCAACUGAGCCACUCAGGCGCCCCUUAAGUUGAAACUUAAUGAUAAUAAAGGUGUUAGCAGUGAUUUAUACUUAACCAUGAUGUGAAAUGUAUCUAUUAAGGCUCUAAGAUUAUUUUUCUUUCUUCAUUUUAAAUGGCACUUGACCUUGCCAAGGUGGUCUUAAAACUUACUCUCCUUCCUUACAGUGAUUCUUUGAGUUGAACAACAGAUAUAGCUACAAUUGGUAAUAAACUCACAAAUUUAUUACUAAAAUUAUCAGUAAUAAUUUGCUUAUAAUUUUUUUACAAAUAAAAUUAUCUAUUAUUGAAAUUGAAGUCGUUACUUUUGAACUGCUUUAUAUAUAAUUGCUUAGGUGAAAAAUGACUUAAGCUGGUUUAUUUUGUACUUGGAUUAAUAAUUAAUUGAUAUGGAUCUGUAGGCAAAUUAUUACUCAAAAUACUGGUAGGUUCUACUGUCUUGAAACCUAUAACUUUGUGAUAAAGCAGAAUCAUAGUUCUUCCGGACACACAAGUUAAUGCCUAGUUGUUGGGGAAACCAUUCUGAUCUCCUCUAUGUGUAGGCCAUUUGCCAAUGUUCUCUGUAGAGAAUUCUACCAGUGGGGAAUAAAAUUAUAUAUUUAAGGUGUACAACGUGAUGUUUUGAUAUAUGCAUACAUUGCAAAAUGAUUACCACAGUCCAAAGUAAUUAACGUAUCUAUCACCUCUCAUAAUUACCUUUGUGUGUGUGUGUGUGUGUGUGUGUGUGUGUGUGUGUGUGGUGAAAACACUUGAGAUCUACUUCUCAGCAAAUUUUAAGUAUACAGUACGUUAUUAUGAACUAUAGUCACUAUGCUGCACAUUAAGUCUCUAGAACUUAUUCAUUUCAUGACUAAAAGUGUGUAUUUUUUAAUGAAUAUCUCACCUUUGACCCCAUCCCUAGCCUCUGUUCUCUGUUACUAUGAUUUGCCCUUUUUAUUAGAUAUUUUUAAAAGAUGCUAGAGUAUGAAUUAUAUCCUAUGAGUAAUUGUAAAAGAAAAAGAUGCAAAAUUUACUACUGAAUUGUACACUUUAAAUGGGUGAACUUUGUAGGGUAUGUAAAUUAUAUUUCAAGUUUUUUUAAAAAAGGUCAAUAUUGAUGAUUUGCUCCUUUCUUAAAAUUUGAGCUAGAUUUAUAACUGAACUAGAGAACAAGUGUUUAUGUUCUAAAUGCCACUCAUUUAAGCUAUGGUAUUAUUCAUGCUUCAUUUUAAGAAUUAAGUUCUACACAAUAUAUAGGGGCACCUGGGUGGCUCAGUCGGUUCAGCAUCCGACUUCAGCUCAGGUUAUGAUCUCGCAGUUUGUGAGUUCGAGCCCCGCGUCGGGCUCUGUGCUGACAGCUCAGAGCCUGGAGCCUGCUUCGAAUUCUGUGUCUCCCUCUCUGUCUGCCCCUCCCCUGCUCAUGCUCUGGCUCUCUCUGGCUCUCAAAAAUAAAUAAACAUUGAAAAUAAAUUUAAAAAAAAGAAUUAAGUUCUACACAAUAUAUAAAUCUUUGCACAGAGGCCAUACUAAUUUGUGUCAGUUUAGUUUUAGUAUAUGUGCUGCUGAAGUGAACAUACUGAAUCCUGAUUAUUGAGCUCUUGUUUCUCUCUGAAAAAUGUAUUUAAUUGUAACUUAGUUUGGAGGCAUUUUUGGCUGUUGGUGUUGCCUCUGAAAAUGCUGGUAUAAUCAUUUAGUUCUUUUAGAAGGUGGGCUUUAGGAAAUCCUGGGUCAGGAGCCAGAAUUGAUCCUAAAAAGAACUACUUUUCUCUGUGAUAUGUUUUACAUACUGAACUAUCAGGAGAAAUCCCCAGUGUCCCUCCCCAGUGUCUGUUGCUACUUUCUUUCUUUCUUUUUUUUUUAAAGAGUGUUAAAUUUUUUUAUUAUUAACCAUUUUUUUUUUUUUUACAUUUAUUUAUUUUGAGAGAAAGUGCAUGAGCAAAGGAAUGGCAGAGAGAGAGAGGGAGAGAGAGAAUCCCAAGCAGGCUUUGCACUGUUAGUGCAGAGCCCAAGGUGGGGCCCAUCCCACCAACUAUGAGAUCACGUCCUGAGCUGAAAUCAAGAGUCGGAUGCUUAACUGACUGAGCCACCCAGGCACCCUAAAAAUCUUACUACAAAGUUUUAAGUAGAAAAUUAGUAUUAGGGACAGCUAGGUGGCUCAGUCAAUUAAGCAUCCAACUCUUGAUUUCAGCUCAGGUCCUGCUCUCAUGGUUCAAGAGAUAAAGGUCCUCCUUGGGCUCUGUGCUGAUAGCUCGGAGCCUGCUUGGGAGUCUCUCUGCCCCUCCCCCUCUUGUGCACAUGCUCAGUCUCUCUCCCUUCCCAAAUAAAUAAAUAAUAAACUUUAAAAAAAAAAGAAAGAA